UCUAUCUGGUGAUUAAGUAGAGCCCGUACAAACAAGCUUACGAAUACGAAUAUGGUUAUACUAUCUUCGUCGUCUUGACCUACGUCUAAGACUGGGGAUUUCAUAAAUGGAACUUAUCAAUUGGAUGUAAUGAUCAAUUAUUAAACAUCAAUCGUCUCCUUAUAAUGCGUCGCUUAUGGUAUUUGGGUCUUAAGCCUACUGAUUUUUUAUUGGAACAAAAUCAUUAGCUCGCUCGGUCUACUAGUCCACUUCUUGACAGUGUUGAACAAUAUAGGAGCUUGUCCUAUUUCCUAGAAUAAGAAACAAAUGGCGGUUGCUUGUUCAGCAUUUGAGGCAGAGUAUCAUCCCAUGGCUAAUAUUACGUUUGAUCUAAAGUGGUUGAAGGGCUUACUUCUGAGUUUGGGUGUGCAACAUCAGAAAGUUAUAAGCUUACAUUGUGAUAGUCAAUUUGAAUUGCAUCUUGCUCAAAAUCUUAUGUUCCAUAAACCACGAACGUACAAAACAUAUUUAAAAUAUAUGGAGGUUGACAUUCAUUUCUUACGUGAUGGUAUCAUCAAUCCUUCUUAUAUUGUUACUCAUGUUAGUUAGCACUCAUCUUUACUAAUAUAGUCCAUUUAUGUUUCGUCUUUACAUGUUGAACAUUUGUUACCUUUAUGCACCGAUUUGAAAGGAUGUUAGAAAUAAUCAAACUAAACAAUAACAUUUUAUUUCACCAAUGUCAUUAAAUUGCUCUCACCUAGGUGGAGUUUGAAAGGUUUGAUGUACGCAAUGUUAUCACUAACAAAGAGGUUGUUUCCAAUUAACAUUUGGUAAACAUCAUAUAAUAAAACUUCACAUAAAUAAGAAGUGCACAUGAUUUAAUAAAUCAUUUUAAUAUAGUCCAUCAUAAUCUAAAACCAUAAAACUAUACAUCUUUGUGAAAUAAGGGAAAAAUACUUUAUUACAAUUUAAUCAACCUCAAAUAAUCUAAACCGAUUUUAAACCAAACCAAAUAUCAACCUAAAACAUAAUUAACAUACUAACUCAUAAGCACUAUACUCCCCAUGUCCUUCUAAUUUUACAGAACUUUCAAUUUUAAUUUGUCUCACAAAUAUAAUACCUUAGAUUUAACUUGAAAAAAGAUUGAUAGACUACUCAUACCAACAAGAUGCAUCUUCUUUUCUAGUGAGCCCAUUUGCUAAGAACUCCACAGUUAAGCGUGCUUGGUGGGGAGCAAUCUUAGGAUGUGUGACCUUCUGGGAAGUUUUCCCAGGUGCGCACGAAUGAGGCCAAAGUGCGCUAGAAAGACUUGUGUUGGUUUGUGGGGCUAGUCUACAGUCUUCAAGAGUAGUCACCAGCGGUCCGAGGGGCCGGGGUGUUACAACAAAUUUGCACCAUUUC